GCCUGCAACAUUGAAUAUGAGUUCAUGAUGGAUGAAGAGGACAAAGAAAAAUCGGUUGCCCCAGAUUGUACAAAAAAGGAAGCCCAGGAAACUAGCAAGCAUAUGAUGUAAAUGGCAAAAUGUGAAAGAUGAGUAUUGACUUGCGGAAGUGGCAUUCUCUUAAUAUGUUGCACUUGACCAAGGACUAUCCCGUGAAAGGUUAGAUCAAUAUGCUCCAUACAUGCAAAGGAAGAGCAUUGAUGCACAGUUAUCGAAUACAGCCAGUCCCACCCAAACCACCAGAGCACUUUCAAGUAUAAAGCUUUGUAAAAUAUGACAAAUUCAUAGCACUGACCACGUACUUUCAAGUGCCCAGAAAUCUUACUGAUUCGAUAUGCAUUUUUUGAGCAGAAACCAACAGGACUGGAUAUAUGCAGGCAACUGGCAUUCUGAUGGUGCCCUAUGAUGAAAUUAGCUAUGCCACACAAAUACUACAGCAGCAAAAUAGACAAUUUAUUAUUUGUAGUAGGCACAAGUUUGUCCUCAUUGUGUACAUCUGUAGUGUUCUGCCUCCCAAGUUGCAUGUAGAUGGAGGUGUGUAUAAAGGGUCGCAAUUCAUCCUUCAAAAAUUUGUAAACUUAGCGUUUUUACUUUGACUUAUAUAGGGCAGAAAAUACCUUUUCCUUGUUCU